rnacentral:lncRNA from 1 species
CCCUUUGGUAACCAUAAGUUUGUUUUCAAAGUCUGUGAGUCUGUUUCUGUUCUGCAAAGUUCAUUUGUAUCCUUUUUUAAGAUGCCUCAUGUAAGUGAUAUCGUAUGUUUGUCUUUAUCUGACUUAAGUUCACUUAAUAGGAUAAAUCUCUAAUUGUAUCCAUGUUGCUGCAAAUGACAUUAUUUCAUUCUUUUUAUGGUUGAGUAUUAUUUCAUUUAUAUAUGUACCACAUCUUCUUUAUCCAUUCCUCUGCUGAUAGACAUUUAGGUUGCUUCAUGUCCUGGCUAUUGUAAAUAGUGUUGCAAUGAACAUUGGAGUGCACAUAUCUUUUCAAAUUACGGUUUUCUCCAGGUAGAUGUCCUGGAGUGGGAUUGCUGGAUCAGAUGGUAGUUUUAUUUUUAGUUUAUUGAGGAACCUCCAUAGUGUUUGUACCAAUUUACAUUGCCCCCAAAGAGAGUUCCCUUUUCUCCACACCCUCUCCAGCACUUAUUGUUUGUAGAUUUUUUUGAUAAUACCCACUCUGAACGGUGUUAAGGUGGUACCUCAUAGUAAUUUUGAUUUGCAUUCUUCUAAUAAUUAGCAAUGCUGAGCAUCUUUUCAUGUGUUUUUGGCCAUCUGUAUGUCUUCUUUGGAGAAAUGUCUAUUUAAAUAUUCUGCCCAUUUUUUGAUUGGGUUGUUUGGUUUUUUGAAAAAGUGCACAUUGUAACAGGAGGGGAUUAAAUAAAAAUAAACACAUGUAGAAGCUCUGUUACAUUCCAGUGGGUGCUCUAAGGAAAACACGCCUCAUUUUGGAGUCCACUGGCGCUAAUGCACCUGGUCACUAACAUCUGAAUAGGAUGAGUGUGAUUUCAUGGGAAUCUGGUCUUGCUCUGCUCCAUGGUCCUGGGAGUGGGUGAAAGGGCUCUUGUCCAUGCCAUUUGCAGAUGAGAAAUCAGGCUUAGAAGGAUGAAAUGACCUGUCCAAGGUAUAUUAUGGAAGCAGAACACAUCAGGUUUCCUUCUUCUAAAAGUCUUAUUAAAGCAAUUCUACUUUUUAAGAAAGUGUUUCUGAAUCAGAACUUAAAGUCUCAGGACUGUAAAGAAAGUACGAAGCACAAAGAUGUUGAUGCCGAUGGCUGUAAGCACAGUUUUCUCUUCCUGCCUUUCAACAUUUAUUAAACAUUAAGGUUUAAAAUUCAUAUUUUAUAACCCAAAAUAUACACCAAUAACUUGUUCAUAAAAAUGACACCAUCUAUCAAAAGUAAAGCCCCUUUGUCACCCAGUGUGUCUGUCGUGUGGCCAGAUUCAAGACAGCCUUCAACAGCAGGAGAUCUGCAUUUUUUUUUCUGAUGAGAAUAAGCAAAAAAGUUGUUUGGCCGAUUUAAAAUAUGUUUAAGAACGCUUUAAUACAAAAUUCAUGUCUACUUGUCACAACUUAGUACACAUUGUAAAAAUAUUUAUUUUUUUUAAUUUUAAAUGAUUUUUAUUUUUUCCAUUAUGGUUGAUAAAAAUAUUUUUUUAAAUGUCAGCUUGGAAUGUUUCCACUCCAUGUUUUCAAGAAAUCAUUUUAUCCCGACUCUCCACUUCAUCACAAACCAUCGCACAUCACCGUCGUUUCCAAGUGAUUUCUAAGUGAGAUGCAACAUGAUUUGAGUUUAUAAAUGGCACGGCCACUGGAAACUUUGUCCCCCUAAGUAACCAUCCUGGUAGAACAUCAGGAUUUUUUCCUUUUCAUGCAGUAAUAUAUUUAUAAUCCCCACGUCAUGACUACCUAAUACAUUUUUAAUGUAAACUUGACAGUAGUAUAACAUAUAUGAAAAAGUGUAUAGGAGUUCCCAUGGUGGCUCAGUGGUUAAUGAACCCGACUAGUAUCCAUGAGGAUACAGGUUCGAUCCCUAGCCUUGCUCAGUGGGUUAUGGAUCUGGCGUUGCCGUGAACUGUGGUGUAGGUCAAAGACAAGGCUUGAAUCCUGCAUUGCCCAUGGCUGUGGUGUAGGCUGGCGGUUACAGCUCUGAUUUGACCCCUAGUCUGGGAACCUCUGUAUGUCGCUGGUGCAGCCCUAAAAAAACAAGUGAAUAAAUCUUAACUAUAUGCCCUGAUGAAUUUUCAAAGUGAACACACUCAGAUGAAGGGCAUCACUAGUCUCCUAAAGGACCUCACAUGCUGCCCUCUCAUCACCUCUGUUUAAGGCCCCUCCCUUCCUCCUGCUCUAGGUAACCCCAUUCUUACUUCUGAUGUCACGGAUAAGUCUCGCCUGGCUUGGAUCCUUAAAUGGCACAAAGUGACUUAUAGCUUAUAAUUUCAUGUCUGGAUUCUUCCAUUCAAGAUUGUGUUUGAGGUGCCUUCCAUGUUGCAGCAUCUGGCUUGAGUGUGUUCAUUUUCAUGAAUGAAGACUAUUCCAUAUAUGAAAACUUCAGUUCUAUCCAUUCUAUUGGAGAUGGACAUUUGGGUUGUUUCCAGAUUUGCAGCUACUCUGAGCAGUGCUGCUACGAACAUUCUCAUAUAGGUUUGUGUACAUGUUUCUGUUGGCUGCACCUUGGGUGGAAUUGUCCAGAAUGGCCAGAGGUUCCAUCUCAGCAGACUCUGCCAGUUACACUCCCAUUAGCAGGUCACCAUACAGCCUGGCCCAAGCUUGGGAUUUCUGCUGUCUCAACUUUAGCUGUUCAGGUAGGCAUAUUCAGGUAGUGGCAUUUUGUUGUUUUUGUAUUUCCCUGGUUUUAGGAAGUUAAGCAUUUCUUAAUAUAUUCUGUUUCCUGGAGGCUGAUAAUCUCCUGAUCACUUAGCUGUUUUUCUGGGGUUUUUUCUUUCUCCCUUAUCUGGGUUACAGUUCUCUGUCUUUUCAUUUUUAUAGGUUUUUGGUGUGACUUUUUUGCAGACAGUAGAGUUGUAGCCUCCUUACUUCUGGUGUCUGUCCCACUUGUGGCUGAAGUUGGUACGGGGGCUUGCUGUAGGCUUCCUGAUGGGAGGGACUGGUGCCUGCCCCCUGGUCGGUGGGGCUGAUUCCUAUCCCUCUGGUGUGUGGGGCUUUGUCUCUGGGUGAGAUUAGAGGCGGCUGUGUGCCUGGGGGUGGGGGUCUUUAGGCAGCCUGUUUAUUGAUGAGUGGGACUGUGAUCCCACCUGGAUUAUUGUUUGGCCUGGGGCUUCUCAGGGCUGAUGGGUGGGGCCAGAUUUUCCCAAACUGGCCACCUCCAGAGAAACGCAUGCUGAUGAAUAUUCCCAAGAGCUUUGCCUCCAAUGUCCUUCCUGCACAACAAGCCACAGUCACCCCCUGUUUUCCCAGGAGGUCCUCCAAGAACUGCAGUCAGGUCUGACUCAGAUUCCUAUGGAGCCUUUGCUCUGCCCUGGGACCCGUGCUCAUGAAAGCCUGUGUGCGCCUUUCAAGAAUGGGGUCUCUGUUUCCCCCAGUCCCGUGGAGCUCCUGCGCACAAGCCCCACUGGCCUUCAAUGCCAGAUGCUCCGGGGGUUCUUUCUCCCAGUGCCAGAUCCCCAGUUGGGACUCAACUCUCACUCCUGUAGGUGAGUCUCUGUGAAAAUAGUUACUUUCCAGUCUGUAGGGCUUCCCACCAGGAGGUAUGGGGUUGCUUAUAACUCGUAAUCACUGCUCCUACCUCCUGAUGUGGCCUGUCUUUGUCUUCUGGAGUAGGCUAUCUUUUUGAAAGUUCCAAUCUGUUUGGUUGAAGGUUGCUCAGCAUUUGGUUGUCAUUUUGUUGUUGUUAGGAGAGAAAUUGAGCUCCAGUCCUUCUAUUCUGCCAUCUUAAUCCCAUCUUCUACUCAAUUUAAUGCAAGGAGUUCCCAUCAUGGGUCAGUGGUUAACGAACCUAAUUAGGAUCCAUGAGGAUUAGGGUUCGAUCCCUGGCCUCGCUCAGUGGGUUAAGGAUCUGGUGUUGCCAUGAGCUGUGGUGUAGGUUGCAGACAUGGCUCGUAUCUCAAUAUAUUCUGGUUAUAAGUUCUUUCAGAUACCCAUACUGCAAGCACCUCACCCACUUCAUGACUUGCCUUUACUAGUAAUAGUGCCUUUACUGCAUUGUGUUCUUUCCUUUUUUUUUUUUUUUUUUUUCGUUUUAGGGCUGCACUUGUGGCAUAUGGAGGUUCCCAGGCUAGGGGUCUAAUCGGAGCUACAGCUGCUGGCCUACACCACAGCCACAGCAACGCCAGAUCCAAGGUGUGUCUGUGACCUACACCAUGGCUCAUGGCAAUGCCGGAUCCUUAACCCACUGAGCAAGGCCAGGGAUCAAACCCUAGUCCUCAUGGAUGCUAGUUGGGUUCAUUAACCAGUAAGCCACAACGGGAACUUCCUGUGUUGUUUCUUAAAGGGAUCUUAAAGAGGGUUUUACAACAUUGUAGAGUGAUUUACAGGGAUUCAGGAAAUCUGUCAAUUCCUUUGCUUCUUUUUAUACCUGAAUCUAUCAGGUGACUUUUAGAAGCACUGGCAUUAGGAGUUCAUUUUUAGGUUAUUUGUUGUUUACUAUAAAAUGGUUGAUAUGGUUUCUUAUGUGACAGACUGAGAAUUUUUUUCUGAUGGGGGAAACACAGGUAUACAUGAGUUGAGGUACAUGUAAGACUUCAUCCCACCCUAAGGCCAGGAUCUUAAAACCAAGUUCAAAUUUACUGGCUUCCUGUCUGUCCUCAUGGUCAAUUCUGAAGGCCUUUGUCUUUGUUAUCAUUGACGGUAUGUUAGUAACUACUUACUAAGUAGUUAAAUGGUUUUGUAUUUACCCUGCAAAAAGGCAAAGCAGCUCUUUUCUUAUGAUGUGCCAACCUGGCAAGGCUGUAGUUCCCAGUUAAUUCAAUUAAACACUAAUCUAGGGGUUGCAAUAAUGGGAUUUUUGCUGAUAUAACCAAAAUCCUUAAUCAACUAAAAUAAGGAUUAUUCUGGAAAAUCUGGUGGGCCUCACUCAGUUAGAAGGCCUUAAAAGCAAGACUGGUUGAGAAAGAGAAAAUUCCAACUGUGGACAACAGCUUCAGCCCUGCCCAAGGAGUCCCAUCCUGUUUUUGAACUUCCCUUCCUGAUUUAGAUUGCUUGGCCAGCCCCCACAAUCAUAUGAGCCAGUUCCUUGUAAAAAUCUCUUAACGUAUGUAUCUACUACUGGUUCUGCUUCUAUGGUUUAAUCCUCAACUAAUGCAAUGAUUUUAAGACCACACAAUUUUUAUUUCCAAAGGAAUUACCAACAAUAUGCAAAAAAUUUGUGAACUUAAAAAAAUAUCUUCCUUAUGAGAAGGACACAAAUCUGUUUAGACUUAGAACCAUUUUGGGUAUAGCUCAUCAGAAGGCUCGGGACUGACUGCGGACACUUAAACAGCAUUAUUUUUAAGAACCUGAAGUCUUCCUCAAUUACCAUGUAAUACGCAUUCUUAUUAAAUGUUUAAAAUG